ensembl:lncRNA
CUUUAAACAAUAGAAUGUGUCUGUGAUGGAAGGUGUCUUUAAGAAAUAGAAUGUGUCUGUGAUGGAAGGUGUGGUGUCUUUAAGAAAUAGAAUGUGUCUGUGAUGGAAGGUGUCUUUAAACAAUAGAAUGUGUCUGUGAUGGAAGAUGUGGUGUCUUUAAACAAUAGAAUGUGUCUGUGAUGGAAGGUGUCUUUAAACAAUAGAAUGUGUCUGUGAUGGAAGGUGUCUUUAAACAAUAGAAUGUGUCUGUGAUGGAAGGUGUGGUGUCUUUAAACAAUAGAAUGUGUCUGUGAUGGAAGGUGUGGUGUCUUUAAACAAUAGAAUGUGUCUGUGAUGGAAGGUGUGGUGUCUUUAAACAAUAGAAUGUGUCUGUGAUGGAAGGUGUCUUUAAACAAUAGAAUGUGUCUGUGAUGGAAGGUGUCUUUAAACAAUAGAAUGUGUCUGUGAUGUGUGGUGCCUUUAAACAAUAGAAUGUGUCUGUGAUGGAAGGUGUGGUGUCUUUAAACAAUAGAAUGUGUCUGUGAUGGAAGGUGUGGUGUCUUUAAACAAUAGAAUGUGUCUGUGAUGGAAGGUGUCUUUAAGAAAUAGAAUGUGUCUGUGAUGGAAGGUGUCUUUAAACAAUAGAAUGUGUCUGUGAUGGAAGGUGUGGUGCCUUUAAACAAUAGAAUGUGUCUGUGAUGGAAGGUGUAUUUAAACAAUAGACUGUGUCUGUGAUGGAAGGUGCCUUUAAACAAUAGACUGUGUCUGUGAUGGAAGGUGUCUUUAAGAAAUAGAAUGUGUCUGUGAUGGAAGGUGUGGUGCCUUUAAACAAUAGAAUGUGUCUGUGAUGGAAGGUGUGGUGCCUUUAAACAAUAGAAUGUGUCUAUGAUGGAAGGUGUGUUGCCUUUAAACAAUAGAAUGUGUCUGUGAUGGAAGGUGUGUUGCCUUUAAACAAUAGAAUGUGUCUGUGAUGGAAGGUGUCUUUAAGAAAUAGAAUGUAUCUGUGAUGGAAGGUGUGUUGCCUUUAAACAAUAGAAUGUGUCUGUGAUGGAAGGUGUGUUGCCUUUAAACAAUAGACUGUGUCUG